AGUCAGGAUGGCCGAGUGGUCUAAGGCGCCAGACUCAAGUUCUGGUCUUCGAGAGAGGGCGUGGGUUCAAAUCCCACUUCUGACAUAC
rnacentral:tRNA from 1 species